rnacentral:piRNA from 5 species
AAUCAGUGGUGGAAGAACGGUCUCAGAACU